GACGGAGGAUGCAAGCGUUAUCCGGAAUGAUUGGGCGUAAAGCGUCCGCAGGUGGCAGUUCAAGUCUGCUGUCAAAGACCGGGGCUUAACUUCGGAAAGGCAGUGGAAACUGAACAGCUAGAGUAUGGUAGGGGCAGAGGGAAUUCCUGGUGUAGCGGUGAAAUGCGCAGAUAUCAGGAGGAACACCGAUGGCGAAGGCAGCUCUCUGGGACGGUACUGACGCUGAGACGCGAAGGCGUGGGGAGCGAACAGG
rnacentral:rRNA from 1 species